GGAUUGUUGUUUGUUGUUUGAUUGAUUGCCUUGAGAUGGAUUGUUGUUUGAUUGAUUGCUUUGAGAUGGAUUGUUGUUUGUUGUUUGAUUGAUUGCCUUGAGAAGGUAAAAACCAUGUAGGCCGAUUGAUUGUUGUUUGUUGCAUUGAGAUGGUACAUGUUUAUAUGUCACGAUUGAUUGCUGUUUGUUUAUGGUUAUUAUGAUUCAUUGCUGUUUGUUGCUUGGUAUCUAACUUUGGUAUUCUUAGUACCUGAUCAUAGGUAACAGACCUAGCGCUAUUCUUUUUUCUGAACUUUUUUGUGAUUAUUAUGCCUUCACAUUGGACUGCUCCUAGAUCCAUAUCGACAUGCCCACCCUGUCUGAUGAGGAUAAAGAUGUUAUGAAAAAAUGGGGAAAACAAGGUUGACUUCCUCUCUCUUUCUUAUACAAGGCAUGAAGAAGAUGUGCGGCAACAAUAGGCACGGGAGUUCCUCUCAAAGUUAGGUGAUCUAAGCCAAACUCUGAUUUUUGCCAAAAUUGAGAAUGUAGAGGGCUUGAACCAUUUUGAUGAGAUCCUGGAAGAAGCAGAGGUAUAAUUCUGUAAAGAGGAAACCUUGGAAUUGAUCUUCCACCUAAAAAGAAGUCUGCUCUGCACAAGUGCAACAAGGCUGGAAAGCCUGUUGUUGUUACUCGUGUUGUGGACAGUAUGACGGACAACCUAAGGCCUUCUCGUGUGGAGGCAACUGAUGUGGCACAUGCAGUGUUGGACGGUAGUGAUGCCAUUCUCCUUAGUGCUGAGACUCUCCGUGGGUUGUAUCCAGUUGAGACUAUGUCAACAGUAGGCAGAAUUUGUGCUGAGGCUGAGGUCUUCAACCAGGAUUUGUACUUCAAGCGAACCAUGAAAUACGUGGGAGAACCCAUGACCCACUUGGAGUGCUUCCUCUGCAGUGCGGGCUGCUAUCAAAGUUAAGGCUUCGGUCAUCAUUUGCUUCACCUCAUCUGGACAGGAGAAAAAGAGUAUUUCUUCUUAUAGGCGCUUCACCUCAUCUUGUAGUUUAAUGGAAAUUGAUUCAUAUAUUAUGCCGUAUCGAGUAUCUGCAGGCUAAUUGUCAAGUACAGGUCCACCAUGCCGUUCCUCGUCUAAAAACAAAUCAAUUGAAGUGGAGCUUCACAAGCGCAUUUGAAGCAAGACAAUCACUCAUAGUUAGAGGCCUCUUUCCCAUGCUUGCUGAUCCACGUCACCCGGCUGGAAUCUUCUAGCACUACAAAUGAAUCAGUGUUGAAGGUUGCUCUUACCUUAGCCAAAAUUUCUAUAAGAAUGUUGCUCAUGUUACAUGCCUUCCUUUCUCUAGAAUGAAGAUCAGAAUCACCCUCACCACUCUAGAGAGAUCGGUUUACUCAUUCAACUUAUGGAAUUCUUUAUAGCUUUUUGAGUUUAAUUCGGUCUUUGCAUGUAUUAGCUUUCUAUCUGUGCCCCUAUCUACGUAUGUUUCUUGUGUGCAAGCGCUCCUUUAUGUGUGUGUGACUCUGUGGCUUGACUGUGUGUGUGUGGCUUGACUCUGUGUGUGUGUGUGUGUGGCUUGACUGUGUGUGACUGUGUGUAGCUUGACUGUGUGUGUGCUUGACUCUUUGUUUGUGUGACUCUGUGUGUGCUUGACUCUCUAUGUGUGUGCUUGACUCUACACGUCUGUGUCUUGUGUGCAAGCGCUCCUUUAUGUGUGUGUGACUCUGUGGCUUGACUCUGUGUGUGUGGCUUGACUGUGUGUGUGUGGCCUGACUGUGUGUGUGUGUGUGUGGCUUGACCGUGUGUGACUGUGUGUGGCUUGACUGCGUGUGUGCUUGACUCUUUGUUUGUGUGACUCUGUGUGUGCUUGACUCUGUGUGUGAAUGUUGCAUUUGCUUGAUGGUGUGGCCUGUAUGCUUGAAUGAUGAUUG